GACGAACGCUGGCGGCGCGCCUAACACAUGCAAGUCGAACGAGCGAGAGAGAGCUUGCUUUCUCGAGCGAGUGGCGAACGGGUGAGUAACGCGUGAGGAACCUGCCUCAAAGAGGGGGACAACAGUUGGAAACGACUGCUAAUACCGCAUAAGCCCACGGUGCCGCAUGGCACAGAGGGAAAAGGAGCAAUCCGCUUUGAGAUGGCCUCGCGUCCGAUUAGCUAGUCGGUGAGGUAACGGCCCACCAAGGCGACGAUCAGUAGCCGGACUGAGAGGUUGACGGCCACAUUGGGACUGAGAUACGGCCCAGACUCCUACGGAGGCAGCAGUGGGGAANAUUGGGCAAUGGGCGCAAGCCUGACCCAGCAAACGCCGCCGUGAA
rnacentral:rRNA from 1 species